rnacentral:rRNA from 1 species
GACCUCGGAUCAGGUAGGACUACCCGCUGAACUUAAGCAUAUC